rnacentral:lncRNA from 1 species
CCUCGGCACCCAGUCCUCAUCGCCUCCUCCGUCCCCACAGCCCGACGUGCCGCUGGUCUUCCUCUCCACGCACAAAUCCCAGCUGGACGGGCUGCUGCUCUCCUUCCUCUUCUUCUCCAACGGCCUGGGGGUGCCCAGGGUGACAGUGGAUAGCUUGAACUGCAGCCCUUGCCUCCGGUAAGGCACGGGGAGCCCUUUAUCAGCCCGGCACGUGGCUGCUGCCCUGCACAGGGUGAAUGAGAUUGCCUGUGGGGAGGGCAGAAGGGUGGCAGGGAGGACGUGGUCCCAUUCAUGGGGGGCACCCACAGCAUUUUCCUCCCCAACAGGGCCUUGCUUCGCUGCCUGGGGGGGGUUUUCCUGCCUGUGGGGAUGGAGCAGGCAUCGAGUGGGCAGGACGGAGGGCUCCCAGCUGCUGUGCUUGCCUCGUACGUCGAGGAGGUGCUGAGGAGCCGCCAGCCUCUGCUGAUCUUCCUGGAGGAGCCCUGCGCCCCGCGGUGCCUUUCAGCUACUGCCCAGGAGUGGCUGGCCCCGGUGCUCCGAGCCGUGCGGGACGGCGCCGUCCCCGAUGUCCUCGUGGUCCCCGUGGGCAUCGCCUACGACCUGGCCCCCGACAGCCUCCAGGGCAGCGGAGCGGUGAGCGGCCCCGAGCCCACUCCUGCCCUGGGA